rnacentral:rRNA from 1 species
ACGAACGCUGGCGGCGUGCUUAACACCUGCAAGUCGAACGGAAAGGCCCAGCUUGCUGGGUGCUCGAGUGGCGAACGGGUGAGUAACACGUGGGUGAUCUGCCCCUAACUUCGGGAUAAGCUUGGGAAACUGGGUCUAAUACCGGAUAGGACAAUCGUUUAGUGUCGGUUGUGGAAAGUUUUUUCGGUUAGGGAUGAGCCCGCGGCCUAUCAGCUUGUUGGUGGGGUAAUGGCCUACCAAGGCGUCGACGGGUAGCCGGCCUGAGAGGGUGGACGGCCACAUUGGGACUGAGAUACGGCCCAGACUCCUACGGGAGGCAGCAGUGGGGAAUAUUGCACAAUGGGCGCAAGCCUGAUGCAGCGACGCCGCGUGGGGGAUGACGGCCUUCGGGUUGUAAACCUCUUUCGACAGGGACGAAGCUUUGGUGACGGUACCUGUAGAAGAAGCACCGGCUAACUACGUG